CAGUCGCCGCGGUAAUACGGAGGGCGCGAGCGUUACCCGGAUUUACUGGGCGUAAAGGGCGUGUAGGCGGCCUGGGGCGUCCCAUGUGAAAGGCCACGGCUCAACCGUGGAGGAGCGUGGGAUACGCUCAGGCUAGAGGGUGGGAGAGGGUGGUGGAAUUCCCGGAGUAGCGGUGAAAUGCGCAGAUACCGGGAGGAACGCCGAUGGCGAAGGCAGCCACCUGGUCCACUUCUGACGCUGAGGCGCGAAAGCGUGGGGAGCAAACCGGAUUAGAGACCCCUGUAGUCCCUGUCUCUUAUAC
rnacentral:rRNA from 1 species